rnacentral:snRNA from 1 species
UUGCUUCAGCAGCACAUAUACUAAAAUUGGAAUAAUACAGAGUAGAUUAGCAUGGCUUCUGCACAAGGAUGACACACAAAUUUGUGAAACAUUCAAUAUUUUU